rnacentral:rRNA from 1 species
UGGGGAAUAUUGCGCAAUGGGGGAAACCCUGACGCAGCAACGCCGCGUGCGGGAUGAAGGCUUUCGGGUUGUAAACCGCUUUCAGCAGGGAAGAUAUAAGACGGUACCUGCAGAAGAAGCCCCGGCUAACUACGUGCCAGCAGCCGCGGUAAUACGUAGGGGGCAAGCGUUAUCCGGAUUCAUUGGGCGUAAAGCGCGCGCAGGCGGCGCGUCAAGCGGGACCUCUAAUCUCGGGGCUCAACCCCGAGCCGGGUUCUGAACUGGCGUGCUCGAGUCAGGUAGGGGAGGUCGGAAUUCCCGGUGUAGCGGUGGAAUGCGCAGAUAUCGGGAAGAACACCGAUGGCGAAGGCAGACCUCUGGGCCUUGACUGACGCUCAGGCGCGAAAGCUGGGGGAGCGAACAGG